CCUACGGUGGGCAGCAGUGAGGAAUAUUGGUCAAUGGGCGCGAGCCUGAACCAGCCAAGUAGCGUGAAGGAUGACUGCCCUACGGGUUGUAAGCUUCUUUUAUAAAGGAAUAAAGUGAGGCACGUAUGCCUUUUUAUAUGUACUUUAUGAAUAAGGAUCGGCUAACUCCGUGCCAGCAGCCGCGGUAAUACGUAGUAUGCGAGCGUUAUCCGGAUUUAUUGGGUUUAAAGGGUGCGUAGGCGGAAUAUCCAGUCAGCGGUAAAAAUUAGGGGCUCAACCCCGUCGUGCCUUUGAUACUGAUGUUCUUGAGUGGGAGAGAAGUAUGCGGAAUGCGUGGUGGAGCGGUGAAAUGCAUAGAUAUCAGGCAGAACACCGAAUGCGAAGGCAGCAUACCGGCGCCCAACUGACGCUGAAGCACGAAAGCGUGGGUAGCGAACAGGAUUAGAUACCCCUGUAGUC
rnacentral:rRNA from 1 species